GACGAACGCUGGCGGCGUGCUUAACACAUGCAAGUCGAACGGAAACGCCCUGCUUUUGUGGGGUUCUCGAGUGGCGAACGGGUGAGUAACACGUGAGUAACCUGCCCUUGACUUUGGGAUAACUUCAGGAAACUGGGGCUAAUAUCGUAUAGGAGCUCCUGCUGCAUGGUGGGGGUUGGAAAGUUUCGGCUGUUGGGGAUGGACUCGCGGCUUAUCCGCUUGCUGGUGGGGUAGUGGCUUACCAAGGCUUUGACGGGUAGCCGGCCUGAGAGGGUGACCGGCCACAUUGGGACUGAGAUACGGCCCAGACUCCUACGUGAGGCAGCAGUGGGGAAUAUUGCACAAUGGGCGGAAGCCUGAUGCAGCAACGCCGCGUGCGGGAUGACGGCCUUCGGGUUGUAAACCGCUUUCGCCUGUGACGAAGCGUGAGUGACGGUAAUGGGUAAAGAAGCACCGGCUAACUACGUG
rnacentral:rRNA from 1 species